rnacentral:rRNA from 1 species
UACGAAAGGGGCGAGCGUUAUUCGGUCAAACUGGGUGUACAGGGUUCUUAGGCUGUUUUUUGUAAGUUAAAAAUCAAAUGUCAAAGCUUAACUUUGGAAUAUUUUUUAAUACUAAAUUUCUUGAGUAAUUUAUGGGUUAAUUUUAUUUCUUCAAUAAGGCUUAUAUCUGUAGAUAGAAGAAGGAGGAUCGAGGGUGAAGACAAUUAACUAUUUUUUACUGACGCUGAAGAACGAAAGUAUGGGGAGUAAAUAGGAUUAGAGACCCUAGUAAUCCAUACUGUGACUUAUGAAUGUGAAAUAUUGGAAUUUUUUUUGAUAUUAAAGCUAACGCGUUUAACAUUCCACCUGAGGACUACGAUCGCAAGAUUAAAACUCAAAGAAAUUGGCGGGGGCUUAUUAAAAACGGUGGAGCAUGUGGUUUAAUCUGAUAAUCCGCGUAUAAUCUUACCAAUUUUUACAAGAUGUUGCAUGGUCGUCGUCAGUCCGUGCCGUGAGGUGUAGUGUGAAAACAUUUAACGGACAUAACUCUUUUUUAUAAUUGCUAAUUAAUUUAUAAAAAUAACUUAUUAUUUUUUUUUAAAGCACUUUAUAAAAUCUCCAUUUGUAUCUUAGAUCUUUUGGGGGGAAGUAGGGAAUGAGGUCAGAUCGUCAUGGCUCUUAUAAAUUGGGCUACACAUGUGCUACAAUGGUAUAUACAGAAAGAUGCAAAAAUGUGAGUUGGAGCAAAUCUUUAAAAAAUACCUUAGUUUGGAUUAUAGGCUGCAACUUGCCUAUAUGAAAUUGGAAUCGUUAGUAAUCGUGAAUCAGCACGUCACGGUGAAUUUUUUUUGGGUCU